AACGAACGCUGGCGGCAGGCUUAACACAUGCAAGUCGAGCGCCCCGCAAGGGGAGCGGCAGACGGGUGAGUAACGCGUGGGAAUCUACCCAUCUCUACGGAAUAACGCAUGGAAACGUGUGCUCAUACCGUAUACGUCCUUCGGGAGAAAGAUUUAUCGGAGAUGGAUGAGCACGCGUGGGAUUAGCUAGUGGGUGGGGUAAAGGCCUACCAAGGCGACGAUCCAUAGCUGGUCUGAGAUGAUGAUAAGACACAGUGGGACUGGGACAAGGCCCAGACUCCGACGGGAAGCAGCAGUUGGGAAUAUAAGACAAUGGGCUCAAACCUGAUCCAGCCAUGCCGCGUGAGUGAUGAAGGCCCUAGGGUUGUAAAGCUCUUUCGCCGGUGAAGAUAAUGACGGUAACCGGAGAAGAAGCCCCGGCUAACUUCGUGCCAGCAGCCGCCGUAAGAC
rnacentral:rRNA from 1 species